AGUUAGAGAAGAAGCUCCAGGAAAAGAAGGAGCAGUGGACGGUUACUGAGAGAAAGGUGAGGACAGAACAGAACAAGCUGGAGAUCAGUCGAACCAGCUCAGCCAGUGGGACAUCAACAACACCACCCAUAACUAUAGAAGAGGUCAAUGAAAGGGAUCGCUACAUCCGUCUCAAGAACAGUUCCAAUAAGGAGAUAAAUCUGGGAGACUGGAAGUUAGAACUACAGAUUAACAACAGGGAACCAAACACAUUGACAUUUGGGCCAUUCAAAUUUCAGGCUGGAAGGAUUCUCUGU